AGCACGGCUGGCGACCACCCCCGCCCCGGCCCGGACCCGUCCGCCCGCCGCCCCGGUGCCCUCCGCCCGCUGGCCCGGCCGGGCGGCGGCCGCGCGCCGCUCCCCUCCCCCGCGGUGCCAGCUGAUGGCCCCACCCAGUGCCUCCCUACCCCUGUGCCAUGGCCGGCUGGGGUUCCUGGGGAUGGGAUUUGCUGCCUUUCACAAAUCACAUUGCCAGGGAUUUCCAAUCGACCCUGAGCCCAAUCUCUGGGGCCGUCACCAUCACCAGCACCACCACCAGCACCACCACCACCACCACCACCACCACCAGCACCACCAACGACGCUGCCAGGGGAUGAGGUGGCAGAGAGGCCCUUGCUGCCUGCGUCUGGCCUGGGGAGCAGGGCUUAGCUGCUUGUGAGCAGGGUCUGCACCAAGUCAUGUUCACAGUGGCUAAGUUCCGCCCCCCGGAGCCCUCACCUCCUCCAGCUCUGCCGCCUCUCCCUGCCUGUUCUGCCGCCUGGCUUCCCUGGGCUCUGCCUCCCGUGCCUACUGAGCUGAAACACAGUUGAUUUGUACAGACUGGCUCAGUUCAGCAGGAACAGGAGUCAAGCCCCCUAGGAGCCUGUGGCCCUGCCUUCCCUGGAUGGGCUGACGCCUGGGGGAAGCGACAGAUGCCUGGGGAAAGAGAGGAGGAUUCAGAUCUAUGGGUGUAUCUGGGGAGGGACUUGGGACGAGAUGGGGUGGAUGGGCUCAGCUCCUGCUGCCAGCCCCCUCCCCCAACUCUGCUCUUGGAGACCCCCACAGUCCUACCUCCAGCUGGGCUGUGUUCCCAAGGAGGACAGUGGGUGGCCCUUCCAUGAAAAAGGGAAGCCAGCUGUGUCUGCGCCUGGUUGACCCUCUGGGUCUGGAGCCUUGGCCCCUCCUCUCCCAAGCCUGGUGGGGGCACCGGCUGGGCCGUACCUUCCCAGCAGCCAGUUACCCAAGAGGAAACUGCCUUGGGCCCUCAGACCGUUAAAUGCCAACUCCAGACUUCCGGAACCAGACUGGCCUGACGUGAACGUGCCUGACCCCUUCAACCUGGGUUCUGCAGCUUCCUGUCUUGAGGGAGGAGCCAUGACACCCUCUGGCACACAGGGUGGGAAUGAGGCCCCUAUGGAGGACCGAAAGGACACAAGCAGGCCUGCCCAGUCCGGGGUGGCCCCGUGUGCCCCUUCCCCACCUCGGCCAGGGGCAGCUGCGGCUUGGGGCAAUCUGUGCUGUGUGUUGUGUUUAGUGUCCAAUCAAAUAAAACCUGCCCCGCCUUAUUCCUGAAGGUGUGGUGGUUUGUGA